rnacentral:sRNA from 1 species
GCACCUCCGGGCAACACCUAAUACUCGGGGCUCCGCUCGGCUUCUUCGCGCCGAGAUGCCUAAGAAGGCUGGUGCGACGACCAAGGCCAGUAGCAGGUCCCGUGGCGGCAGAGGGGUGGGCCUCAGGGGUACUUGUUGAAGAGCGCGGGAGAAGCGGGGCCCGGGAGUGAGUGGAGGCACUGCCAGCGGCUUGCCGUCUCUCAGUUCCGGGGCUCAGGACAGCCGCCGCCACCCCCAGAGCUGCGGCUCCUGCUGCCGUCGCCCCGCCUCAGUAGGCUGCGCUGCCGUCCACCCGGUGACUUCUGAGCGCUGGGCCCGGCGGCAGCCGAGCUCUCCUUGGGCUGCGUGUGCUGACCUUUGGCCUCCUACCCGCACUCCCAGUCCAGCAAUUCAUGUUCCCGCAGCGGCAUGACCUGCGCUUCCCCAGGAGGCUGUAUUCUGCUUUCUCCUCCCUUGCUUUGGCUGAUCGCACCCCUUCUGUCAAGAAUACAGCACUCCCAUUUCCACCAUCUUUGUUUGGCCAACCCCAGUCCGUUUCUCAGACUCAGCUCAAGCACUGCCUCCUGCUGGCAGCAUUCUCCAGUGCCCCAAUGCUGAUUUGCCUGUGGGGUAAUGUUCUGUGCCUAUCUCAUCGGUGCACUUAGCACAGUGUAUUAUAAUUUUGUAUGUUCUUUCUCCCUCGCAGCAGUCCGAGCUCCUUGAGAGCAAGGACCAUGUACCUUUUCAUCUUUACAUAUCCAUUGCCUACAUAUUUGUUGAACCAAAGUUCCUAGCACAGCCCCUGUCCCAUAACAGGCCUUUAAAUAUCAAGCACUAUUGUUUUUUCCUCCCUUUCCCGCAACAUGCAGACAUACACACUUUCACCAACAUUUAUUAGCUCCGACUGCAUGAGAUACAAUGAUGAAUAAUAAAUAAUCCCUGCCCCCAAGGAAUUGGAAAUACAAAGCAGAGGGAGGAACAAGCAUUAAGGUUUAGAAGCCAGAGUUAGGUUUUCUUGCAAGGGAGGAAAAAACAUUGUUGGGUUGAUGGGAACCCUUCGUGGGAAAAUUGAGUAGAGCCUUGAAGGUUGUGGGAAAAGCGUUCUAGGUGGCCAGAAGUCCCUGGACACCACUGAUGAGCCUAGUUUGUCUGUUAAGGGUGAAAGGGGGUAGUGGAAGAAUCAAAUUAAAUGUGUGGGAAAAUAUUUUGUAACCUGUAAAGUUGUGUGGUUGUCAUUUUAGGGUAAAAGCCAGAGCAAGGAACCAGAGAGACCACUUCCUCCCUUAGGUCCUGUGGCAGUUGAUCCUAAAGGAUGCGUCACCAUAGCCAUCCAUGCAAAACCUGGCUCCAAACAAAAUGCUGUAACAGAUUUGACAGCAGAGGCUGUAAAUGUAGCUAUUGCAGCACCUCCAUCAGAGGGAGAGGCUAAUGCUGAGCUCUGUCGGUAUCUUUCCAAGGUCCUAGAACUCAGGAAGAGUGAUGUGGUUUUGGAUAAGGGUGGUAAAUCUCGUGAAAAGGUGGUGAAGCUUUUGGCUUCUACAACUCCAGAAGAGAUCUUGGAGAAAUUAAAAAAGGAAGCCAAAAAAACAUAAAAGCAAGAAAUGAGGCCGGGCGCAGUGGCUCAUGCCUGUAAUCCCAGCACUUUGGGAGGCCGAGGUGGGCGGAUCACCUGAGGUCAGGAGUUCGAGACCAGCCUGACCAACAUGGUGAAACCCCAUCUCUACGAAAAAUACAAAAUUAGCCGGAUGUGAUGGCGCAUGCCUGUAAUCCCAGUUACUCAGGAGGCUGAGGCAGGAGAAUCACUUGAACCUGGGGGGCGGAGGUUGCAGUAAGCCGAGAUCGCGCCGUUGCGCUCCAGCCUGGGCAACAAGAGUGAAACUCUCUCCCCCCG